AGUGAACGCUGGCGGUAGGCCUAACACAUGCAAGUCGAACGGCAGCACAGUAAGAGCUUGCUCUUACGGGUGGCGAGUGGCGGACGGGUGAGGAAUACAUCGGAAUCUACUUUUUCGUGGGGGAUAACGUAGGGAAACUUACGCUAAUACCGCAUACGACCUACGGGUGAAAGCAGGGGAUCUUCGGACCUUGCGCGAUUGAAUGAGCCGAUGUCGGCUUAGCUAGUGUGCGGGGUAAAGGCCCACCAAGGCGACGAUCCGUAGCUGGUCUGAGAGGAUGAUCAGCCACACUGGAACUGAGACACGGUCCAGACUCCUACGGGAGGCAGCAGUGGGGAAUAUUGGACAAUGGGCGCAAGCCUGAUCCAGCCAUACCGCGUGGGUGAAGAAGGCCUUCGGGUUGUAAAGCCCUUUUGUUGGGAAAGAAAAGCAGCAGGUUAAUACCCCGCUGUUCUGACGGUACCCAAAGAAUAAGCACCGGCUAACUUCGUG
rnacentral:rRNA from 1 species